UACGUAGGGGGCAAGCGUUGUCCGGAUCUAUUGGGCGUAAAGCGCUCGCAGGCGGUCCCGUGCGUCGUGCGUGAAAGGCCCCGGCUCAACCGGGGGCGGUCGUGCGAUACGGCGGGACUGGAGGCCAGUAGGGGGGCGCGGAAUUCCGGGUGUAGUGGUGGAAUGCGUAGAGAUCCGGAGGAACACCAGCGGCGAAGGCGGCGUCCUGGACUGGACCUGACGCUCAGGAGCGAAAGCGUGGGGAGCGAUCAGG
rnacentral:rRNA from 1 species